rnacentral:lncRNA from 1 species
GGGAGUCUCCUCCUCUUCCAUCCCCACCCCCACUAGAUAACACACAAAGCUCGCUGUUCACUCUUUAGGACUACCUGAAAAUGCACGUCUUGAAAAUCAGAUGGGGGGAGGGCGCGGGAAAGUGGGUUUACACACCACUGCGUUGUGUUUUCCCCGCUUUCACGAUUGUCCGGUGGAAACUGAGUCUCCAGAACAAGCUGGCGCCUCGUGGGUCGGCCAGGUUUCAGCGCCUGGGCUUCCCCUCGCUGGAUUGAGCUCUCCGGGCAGUGCGCGGAGGAGCGACCUUCGGGCGCGGCCCGCCAAAAUUGGGACCAUAAAAUGCAUCUCAUCUCUUUACCAAGACCCCCAGGAUACCCGUUUUUAAGGCAAAGACUCUAGAAAGCUCAGAUGUUGGCGCACAGGCAAGAAGCAGUGGUGAAUUUCCUGGAAAUGUCCAGGCGGAAACGCAAGCCAAAAACGUGCCUUGUGGUCUCAGAGCAGGGGAUGUGAGAAACUCAGCACUUUCAAACUAAACCUCGAUUCAGAGUCGAAGCAAAAGAGGGGCCACUGGGAGAGGGAUAGACUGGCUUUUUGAUGUUUCUUUGUAUUUAACAUUACGUACAAGCAUUAUACAACUAAGCAACUUGUUUCCUCGACAGGACUCUAUAAAUUACCUGAUGGGGGGGUAGAGAAGAGGUGGGGUGGGGAAAGGUGAUGGGUGGGGGGCAGACGGCUGUGGGCGGAGGGAAGGCUGGGGCCAGAAGCGGAUGAAUUGCCGACCAGUUGCCAAACUUUUUUUUUUUUUUUUUUUCCUUGCUGCUGCUGCGGCUGCGGCUGCCUUUGCUGCUGCCUUUGCUUUGAAUGUGGGUAACUAGGAAACAGCAAGCCGUCUGAGAAGACGGAAUUUCCAACGUGUAAAAUGUUCUUAACGGAACCAUUGAGCGAGUGCAAUAAGGCGUGAGGGGGAACUAAUCUUCCCAUUUAAAUGUUUGUGGCAAUUUUAUCUAAAUGAAUUUUAAUGCUAAACGAGGGUAAUUCCCCAUUUGUAGCGCGUUUACUUCUCUUUCCUGUGCUUCUAAAGCAGUCGAACAUCAUGCAAUGAACAAUAACAAUAAAAAUACUGUCAAGGCAUAUUAUUCA